GAUACUUGGGAUACGUUCUUAAAUAUUUAGAAAAUACAUUCAUUACAGUAAAGUGUUAAGUAUUUUAAUAUUGGUAGUAAUAAUUCAUUGGUAGAAUGAUGUUAUUCAUUUCAAUUCAAAAGCUGCACCGGUUAUAUAAAUCAUAAAAUAUUCAAAACAUGCGAUUUCAAGUUUUUAUGAAGUAAAUUGAGAUAUGUUAAGUUGUAUUUCAAUGAAACAUUAAUAUUAAAAAACCUGAUUUCAAAUCAAUCAAGCGUAUCAAGAACUGGCCUUUACAUUUAACAACAAUGUUUCUUUCUUGGCGGGCAUCGCUAACGUCGCGAGAUUAAGUAUUCUUCGCUCUCGUUUGUAACAAGCGCAUAAUAACAGUCAUUCGGACAUCUGUUUGACGAAAAUUUCGGCUGCUUGCCAGUACCAAAUUGACGUGCUGAGCGUGAAACGAUACUGGCUGUGGUCCAAAAAUUAUCCGAAAGUAAACAUAUAUCAUGGCAGCAUUGUUUAUAUUCUCAGUUACCGACUUCGCGUUUUUCUUUUCACGUUGAUUUUUUAAAAUAUCUUUAAAUUAUCGCCAAUGUCGAAAGUAUGGAAAAAAACAUUUGUUAAUAUUUAAACAAAUUCUGCAAACGGUAUGAAAAACGGUAUAAACAAAAUUUUGUAUUUUUAUCAAUUUCUAUUAAAUAUUUCUUAUGAUUUUUUCUCAGGUAUUAUAUACGUUUGUAAACUAAAAGUUUGCAAGUGUGAUGAUGUUCAAGAAAUAGGGAUAUGAUUAAUUUCCGUUGAAUGAGAUUCUUCAUCGUGAAAAAAUAUAUUUUAAUACUGUUAGUCAAUACCAGCUGAUGAAAUGAAUUCUACGAACACAAGGCAGGACAGAAUGAAGGCAGUAUGGAGUGCUGAGCAGAAAGAGGAAGGGGAAGGAAAAAAAAAGGGAGAAGGAACCGGUGGCAGUAAAAAGAUUUACAGUGGCGUAAAUACAGCGGCACGUUCCAUACGCAGUUUUCGAACGAUACGCGCAAUUCAGAUGAUUUGAGAAUAAGUGCCGCCAUUAUCCUGACGUGCAACGUUUUAUUGCGGAUAAUACCAACCACGAUCGCUUCCGCAAUAAUUGCAGUUUUGUCAAGCAUAAAAAAAGAAAAAAGAAGAAGCAAAACAAAAAAUCAUAACCGAUCUCUAGUUUUUCUCACAUUCAAAUUCACUGUGCUAAAGUAGUUGGGUACUUGAGACUGUCUUAACUUUCAUUCUUUCUUCGAUACUGUUAAUUGAGAAACGGAUGACUGGUCGUAUGAAAUGCUCCCGCUUUUUCUAAUUUGUACUUCUUCUCUCUUUCAUUUCUUUUUCAAAAUUCCAUUCGACGAAGACGCAAGAUAAAUAAGUUACAGUCAAACACCUUUCGUGGCCAAGAAAACCGAUUAAUCCGAGUCAGAGCAAGAUAUUUGAAAGUAAAGUGUUCGCCUUCUUUCGUGUUCAAAUUAUAACGAGAGGAACUGGGUCAACUCGCCGUGCAGGUGCACGACCGUGUUUCGUCCAUCAUCGAUACACAUCCCUUUUGUCGUUUCCGUAUCGAUUUGUGAACACGACUCUUUAUAAACGUCGUUUCUGCUUUCUUCUUCUACGUACCGUUUGCGCACUAAGAAAAUAUUUAUAUGCGAGAAGCAACAAAUAUUAUAAUAAAUAUGAAAGAUAAAGGACUAUCCACUAUGUAACUAGUAAAUUUUACACGGAUUAACGAGCAAACACUUGGAAAUUAAUCUAUCCGGCAUGUAUCUGAAAAUGAACCAAGCUAAUCGAACGAGAUAAAAAUAUAAAUGCAAAUCUUCACGCUGCGCCGGGCAGCGUGUUUUAUUUAAUUAAGAGCAUUACUGUUCGGUUGUAUCUCGUAUUGAUGUUGAAAUCUAUCAAAAAGCGGUACAGACACGCGUAACACCUACACAGGCCGUGAUAUGCAAUACCUAGCCGAGUAUUUUCCUGUUUAUUAUUAAAAUAUUCCGCCUCGUUACGCGGCGGCUGAUACCGAAUCGCGGCGCAUCCUGUGAUUCCAGUAUGCGAUAGAAAUUAUAUUCGUCGCUAAUCGAAUGAAUUACACAUUACUUUCGAGUGUUUCAUUAAUUACCGUAAAUCGAGCGACGUA